CCUACGGGUGGCAGCAGUGAGGAAUAUUGGUCAAUGGGCGGAAGCCUGAACCAGCCAAGUAGCGUGCAGGAUGACGGCCCUACGGGUUGUAAACUGCUUUUAUACGGGAGUAACGCGCCUUACGUGUAGGGCUUUGCAUGUACCGUAUGAAUAAGGACCGGCUAAUUCCGUGCCAGCAGCCGCGGUAAUACGGAAGGUCCGGGCGUUAUCCGGAUUUAUGGGGUUUAAAGGGAGCGUAGGCCGCAUGUUAAGUGUGGUGUGAAAUGUCCGGGCUGAACCCGGGACGUGCAGCGCCUACUGGCGUGCGUGAGUGCGCGGGAGGAAGGCGGAAUU
rnacentral:rRNA from 1 species